UACUUAACAUGACAUUAUAUUCUAUAAUGCUUAUUAUAUCGAUGAGGAACUCACCCUUACAACUAUUUUUCAGGUAACGAGCAAUGAGUUGAGUAGAAGCUAAUACUUGGAGUCUAGUGUAGUCUCCUUAGUGGGUCAUGCUCUGAUAGAUGUAACAUCGGGAUGGGAUGUUUUAACUUGUUUUGAAUGUUUUAUUGAUUGGUUGUGAACCAUUUUCCAUGUAAUAUGUUACAUGUUUU
rnacentral:lncRNA from 1 species